rnacentral:rRNA from 1 species
CCUACGGGUGGCAGCAGUCGAGAAUCAUUCACAAUGGGGGAAACCCUGAUGGUGCGACGCCGCGUGGGGGAAUGAAGGUCUUCGGAUUGUAAACCCCUGUCAUGUGGGAGCAAAUUAAAAAGAUAGUACCACAAGAGGAAGAGACGGCUAACUCUGUGCCAGCAGCCGCGGUAAUACAGAGGUCUCAAGCGUUGUUCGGAAUCACUGGGCGUAAGGCGUGCGUAGGCUGUUUCGUAAGUCGUGUGUGAAAGGCGCGGGCUCAACCCGCGGACGGCACAUGAUACUGCGAGACUGGAGUAAUGGAGGGGGAACCGGAAUUCUCGGUGUAGCAGUGAAAUGCGUAGAUAUCGAGAGGAACACUCGUGGCGAAGGCGGGUUCCUGGACAUUAACUGACGCUGAGGCACGAAGGCCAGGGGAGCGAAAGGGAUUAGAUACCCCUGUAGUC